rnacentral:rRNA from 1 species
AGGACGAACGCUGGCGGCGUGCUUCAUACAUGCAAGUCGAACGAUAAGGUCUCUUCGGAGACACAUAAGUGGCGGACGGGUGAGUAAAAUGUAGAGAAUCUGCCCUAGAGUGGGGGACAACAGUUGGAAACGACUGCUAAUACCGCAUAUGAGCGUACCUGCAAUGGUAUUCUUGAAAACUUCGGUGCUCUGGGAUGAGUCUGCAUCUGAUUAGCUAGUUGGCGGUGUAAUGGACCACCAAGGCGACGAUCAGUAGCUGGUUUGAGAGGAUGAUCAGCCACAAUGGGACUGAGACACGGCCCAUACUCCUACGGGAGGCAGCAGUAGGGAAUUUUGCGCAAUGGGCGAAAGCCUGACGCAAGCAACGCCGCGUGAUUGAAUAAGCCCUUCGGGGUGUAAAGAUCUGUCAGUAGGGGCGAAACUUGACGGUACCUACAGAGGAAGCAUCGGCUAACUCCGUGCCAGCCGCUGC